UAUGGUACUAAUACAGGGCGAAUUUUCUUCCAAACUCCAAUACUCGUGAACGAUUCCUUCCAUGAUAUACACGUGACGUACAGAUGUACUGCUUUCUUGGUUUUUGUGCUAAUCAUGCUUCUGUACGACCCCCAAUCAACUGUGUACUAAAACCAUGCGUCCUUCAUUAGCCUUCCUACAACAAUAUUAUGCCCAUUUGCUGCUCCAUAGCAGUACAAUGGGGCUGGAUCAGGGAGUACAAAUUGUAUGAUAAUUCAAUUAAAAGAUCCACAUCAAGUACUACCAAAUAUGGUGACUCCGUGGAGUACAUUUGAAAGGAAGUACUGGGUUUUUCUUGCUAUAUAACAAGGAAUGAAGCCCCAGCGGCAUUCAUUACCGAAGUUGAGCAAACGGAAGACACAGAGGCGUCCGAUCGUGGAGGAUUCCUACAGGAGCGACCUGAAAUCACAUGUGGGCUGCACCCUCCUGGGUUAUCUUGAGCAACAUGUGUUCUCAGGUCGCCCCUGCCGGGCUUUCCUCCAUAUGCUAGUUACUACAUUUCAGUGGUGGGCCCAGCUCUGAUGGUGUGCUUUGUACCAUUGGAUCUUCGCCUAGUUCCUUGUAUUUUUUUAUCAAACAGCAGUAUAAACAAGUAAUUUCAAUAUUCACAAUCCACGCGAUGGAAUGCUAAAAGAGUCGGUAUGUGAGACCCAUGAAAGCAAAAACUCAAGGCGUGCUAUUUUCGAUUUUAAGUUGUUCUUUUACGCAAAUGGACAGGUAUGGCAAUGCAAGCUCUUGUUAUUUUUUUGCUCUAAAAGUUAUGCUCCUGUUGUGUUGCUAAUGCGGCACCUUGAACAAGAUAAGAGCAAUCACACUGACAGCAGAGUACAGACCUACCUUGACAUAGCUGAAAGCAGUUUACAAGAAUGAUGGGAACAAACCUGAACAAAAUGCAUCACGAAAAUAUCAAAGUUGAUGCUAGGCCAUGUUUCCUCGCAGCAUGCUCCACUCCCAUUGAAAAUUUAUCACUUUAGACAGGAGUAAUAAGAGCGUGCCGAGUGCCUGGAAACCAGUUUGAGCCAUGCCAGCUGCUUUGCGUAAAUUCCAGUAAUUUCAUUUCCCAUAAGAAUGAGGUUGUUAAAGGGUUGCAGAUGAAUAUCAAUGAGAAUAAAUUGAGUAAAUAGGGCACCAUAAAGAAAUCAAAAAUGUUAUUCUGGGGACUUCUACACCAAAAUCCUCACAUCAGACAUAAUAGCAAGCAGCUCUUCUUCCCCGACUUUCUUCCAAACCCCAUUUAUCAUUAGACAACCUUUGUCAUCUUUUGACAACAAAACAUUCUCGCCCUCUGAUUCAAAACUGUCUGCUGUCUCUCUCAUCUUCUUAACACUUGCUUUAUCCAAUAGAUAAAUAUCAGAAUCAGCUUCUCUCUUGCUACCAGUCCUCUCGACACUAGUGUAAUCUGAUAAAGGAAUAUCACCACUAGGUUCUCUUAUGCUACAUUGUUUCAGUUCCCAGAUCUGCUUCCUUUCUGAUGCAUGCACAGACUUUUUACCGUCGUCAUCACAGUCGAGAACAGGAAGACAGCCAGAAGAUCCAAGGUCACGAGGCAACAUGCCAAUUGGACAUGGGUUCCAUGAUUUUGCCACAAUCCAUCUGCCUGAACUACCCACAUCACCAUCUGUUCUCUUAGCAACUUUACUCUUUGUUCGGCAAAGUUUUACAAAGUCUAGCUUCUUGGUGGCCUGAUGGAUAGAUUGAUCUUGCUGGGUAAGAAAGCUAUUCAAACUCAGGGGAGGAGACUUCUCUUGGGUAACCUCUGGGUCUGAUAAAGCUAGCAAACUUAGUUUUUUGAGUUUAUCCAUCACAGAGCUAUCACCCAUCAACUGUGCAAGAUGCAGUGCUGAACCCAUAAGCUGUUUAUUGCCAUAUGAGAACACCAGAAGGCAUUUUCGGAGAACCUCCAUCAGGAUUGCGUUGGAUAAAUUCAUUCCUAUUGAAGAGGCUAAGCUUUCAGCUGCAGAUUGUUUACAGCGAAGAGGCUUUAGUCCCUUGAGUUGUCCAACAAGCCAUGCAAACAAGGAAGAAAGUCGAUCAAUUUGGCGAUUCUCUGUUCCCUGCUCCCAUGAUAUGAGAUGUGUUCCUAAACAAGAUUUCAGAAAAGGUCAAUAAAGAGAACAUUAAAUCAAAACCAUUUAUGUGAUUAUUAUUGCAUUGAACCUUUUUGAAGCUAUCAUGUACAGGCAGCUAUAUGUCAUUCUGCAUCAAGCUGGCAUUCAUUGUAAACCAGGUACUUACAUGGUUAAUCAGAUAUAGCUCAUAAACUGGUUGAAAAGAGUUCAACAAAUAUGAGGUUGGGCA